rnacentral:tRNA from 1 species
UAGCUCAAUAGUAGAGCACUUGUCUGGUAUGCAUGAGACCCUGGGUUCUAUACCCAG